GUUUCUCUCUCUGUUUCUCUCUCGCUCUCUCUCUCUCUCUCUGUUUCUCUCUCUCUUAAAGUGAAUUACAGAAACCCUUAACAAGGUUUCAGCCCUGUCCCUCUCCGUAUCAUAACAGAUGGGGUCGACCAUUCAUUCAUAGAUUACAAAGCUGAAUUGAGCCAGAAGCUGCUGUUUUUUUUCCUUCUUCCCAGUUGUCUGGUUUCUAUCAAUAGUGAAGGAGGCAGUUGAGGGGAAUCUCUUAAGGGACUUCAGUACCAAGUAACCUCCUCCAUUUUGAUAUUCUCUUCCAGUUUGCUUAAUUGAUUUGAUUCUAAGAAGAGGGGCUGUGUUUAUACCCAGGUCUUCUAUUGAUUUGAUUCUAAGAAGAGGGGCUGUGUGUUUAUACCCAGGUCUUUAAUUGAUUUGAUUCUAAGGGGCUGUGUGUUUAUACCCAGGUCUUUUAUUGAUUUGAUUCUAAGGGGCUGUGUGUUUAUACCCAGGUCUUUAAUUGAUUUGAUUCUAAGAAGGGGCUGUGUGUUUAUACCCAGGUCUUUUAUUGAUUUGAUUCUAAGAAGGGGCUGUGUGUUUAUACCCAGGUCUUUAAUUGAUUUGAUUCUAAGAAGAGGGGCUGUGUGUUUAUACCCAGGUCUUUAAUUGAUUUGAUUCUAAGAAGGGGCUGUGUGUUUAUACCCAGGUCUUUAAUUGAUUUGAUUCUAAGAAGAGGGGCUGUGUGUUUAUACCCAGGUCUUCUAUUGAUUUGAUUCUAAGAAGAGGGGCUGUGUGUUUAUACCCAGGUCUUCUAUUGAUUUGAUUCUAAGAAGAGGGGCUGUGUGUUUAUACCCAGGUCUUCUAUUGAUUUGAUUCUAAGAAGAGGGGCUGUGUGUUUAUACCCAGGUCUUUAAUUGAUUUGAUUCUAAGAAGAGGGGCUGUGUGUUUAUACCCAGGUCUUCUAUUGAUUUGAUUCUAAGAAGAGGGGCUGUGUGUUUA